AAAAUUGAUCUUGCAACUGUUUUUGCUACAAUGUCUGUGUACAUUCGCAGUGUACUAUGGCGAUAAACUGUACUUAUAAUAGCAAACGUGGACCCGGGGGCAGUACCCGGCACCUCCACCAAAAAAGGCACAUGCAAAUGGGGGUGACAUAGUAUCGACACUUUGACGAAAGGGGUACAUUUCUCUCGGGGACAGAUCACCCGAUUUGUAGUUUCUGCAAUAAAAAGAUCUAUUCCUUAAACGGAAACAACAACAAAAGGUGGGCUCUAGCUGCUUAAAGUAGCUAUCCUCCAGCGGUUCCGAGGGCUUUCCGAGCAACAGAAAAGCUCUCAA
rnacentral:tmRNA from 1 species